rnacentral:lncRNA from 1 species
GCGGUUUCAUUUUGCUUGGCAAAGUCGGGGGGGGGGGUUCCCCAACGUGCAGGGGAUGUCCCUGUGCUCACCUCGGUUCCUCGCGACAGCCCGGAUCCGAGCAAGGACGGCACGGCCAGGGUCACAGCUCCCGGCGGCGUGCGACCAGGCUGCAGGCCGACGAGGGCGGGCGUCUCGGACCGCAAGGACCCCUGCCGGCGGGGACGCCUCGCGAGACAGCCCCGGGUUUCCAGGCGCAGGAAGUGCGAUUGGCGCCGAGGUGCUGGGGGAGCUCAGCCGCUGCCCUCCCUGCGAAGCCAGGGUCGCACCAGCUCGCAGGAGGGCGCCGGGACCGGGACGCUUGAACGGUGUAGGCGUCCUUUGCCCGGAUCUGUCUACGGGUGAUGACAGCAGAAUGCGACCCUUGGAGCGGCGCUUCAGUGAGACUCCUUGUACCUCCUAUCGUGUGAAGUGACCAUGAAGAGACAGUUCCUCACCAGGCACCCAGCUACCGGUGGACUGACCUCAAUCUCCA